rnacentral:lncRNA from 1 species
CCAUUCACGCAACUCAUUGUUCUGCCACUGCUUUUGUUCAGCAUCCAACAACACAGCUUUGAUUAUAGAUGAAGUGUCUUUGAUCCGUCGUAAAUCGUCAUACACACCUAGUGCCAAGGAAGCUUCAUCAAGAACUCGAGAAGUAAGUUUGCCUAUGAAUGUCUCGGCAACACUGAAGAGGAGUGAUUCUGCCAUAUGGAAUAAUUUUGGCUAUGUUGUUUUUGAUAAGGUAGAAGUGAGAAUGAAAGAGCAGGGUUAAGAAUGCAAUGGUGGAUUACAGGAGCCAAGAAGAAUUAUAUAGAUAGUAAGUCAAUGGCUAGCUAGCAAAAGUCUUUUAGUUUUAACAUGUUGUUCAGCAACAGCUGGAAAUUAGAUGUGAACUAGAUAAAUAAAGAGUUAAGACUCGCUCUGUGUGG